AUUGAACGCUGGCGGCAUGCCUUACACAUGCAAGUCGAACGGUAACAGGUUAAGCUGACGAGUGGCGAACGGGUGAGUAAUGUAUCGGAACGUGCCCAGUCGUGGGGGAUAACUGCUCGAAAGAGCAGCUAAUACCGCAUACGACCUGAGGGUGAAAGCGGGGGAUCGCAAGACCUCGCGCGAUUGGAGCGGCCGAUAUCAGAUUAGGUAGUUGGUGAGGUAAAGGCUCACCAAGCCGACGAUCUGUAGCUGGUCUGAGAGGACGACCAGCCACACUGGGACUGAGACACGGCCCAGACUCCUACGGGAGGCAGCAGUGGGGAAUUUUGGACAAUGGGCGCAAGCCUGAUCCAGCCAUGCCGCGUGCGGGAAGAAGGCCUUCGGGUUGUAAACCGCUUUUGUCAGGGAAGAAAAGGUUCUGGCUAAUACCUGGGACUCAUGACGGUACCUGAAGAAUAAGCACUGGCUAACUACGUG
rnacentral:rRNA from 1 species